UCCGAAGGGGGCUAGCGUUGCUCGGAAUCACUGGGCGUACAGCGCACGUAGGCGGAUCUUUAAGUCAGGGGUGAAAUCCUGGAGCUCAACUCCAGAACUGCCUUUGAUACUGGGGAUCUCGAGUCCGGAAGAGGUGAGUGGAACUCCGAGUGUAGAGGUGAAAUUCGUAGAUAUUCGGAAGAACACCAGUGGCGAAGGCGGCUCACUGGUCCGGUACUGACGCUGAGGUGCGAAAGCGUGGGGAGCAAACAGG
rnacentral:rRNA from 1 species